rnacentral:misc_RNA from 1 species
GUGGGAGGGGGCUUGCUCCCGAUUGCGGUACGUCAGUCAGUACAUAUUUGGCUGAUACACCGCUAUCGGGGGCAAGCCCCCUCCCAC